AUACUUACCUGGCAGGGGAGAUACCAUGAUCACAAAGGUUUUUUUCACAGGACGAGGCUUCUCCAUUGCACUCUGGCUGUGCUGACCCCUAUGAUUUCCCCAAAUGUAGGAAACUCGAUUGCAUAACUUAUGGUAGUGUGGAACUGCAUUCACGCUUUCCCCU